GGGGAUGUAAUGGUUUCGACAUGAUUAGGAAGCUUUUAACCGCAGUGGGGUAAGCCCCUUAUCGCUUAAAAGCAAUAAAUGCAAACUCUAAGAAUGAAGUAGAACCAAGUGUUCGCAGUGAAGACUUCGCUAACGAAGAAAGAGUUAAUUUAUCUUCCUUCGAAAUGAGCAAACUUUCACAAUUUGCAAUUGCACUAGCUUAACUACAAAGUUAGUAGUAGCAAACCAAUUUUUCUUAUCCUAGCUAUUUUUCACUAGGAUAAGAGUGACAUUAAGUCACCCUAAUUUUUUCUUUCAUCUUCUAUCUUGCUGGUUGGUUUUUAAUUUUCCCAAUCAGUAACCUAUAGAAACGCUAUAGGUUUAGAUUUUUAUUUUUCAUUAAGUUUAAUCCUCCUACGUUUCUUGCGUGUUAAGGCCUUUUUCUCCUUAACAUCUUAGAAAGAUAGUCUUUGACAUGAUGAUUAAUUUUGAUUGUUGACAAAAUUAAUCCUUCAUGGAUAUAUCUCUUUUUUAUUUUUAAUUUCAUAAUUUUUCCUUUUUUAUUUUUUUCUAAAAUUUCAUUUUAAACUUCUUUUAUUAACCGUUUAGUUCCGUUUUAAAAGAUGGAACUGAACUAAACUUGUAUAUGUUAUUAGCAACCUAAUUGUGGAAACGGGUUCGAUUCCCGUCAUCUCCACCA
rnacentral:tmRNA from 1 species